ACAUCUAUUUUAAAUAUUAAACAGUGUUUCAAAGAGUGCAUAUUUUUUAAACGCUAUGGAAGCAUUAAGUAACAGUGAAAUCGUGAAUUCAAGCCAAGGGGCAGAAAUGUGCUUGAACGCACGCGGAGCAUUUUACGCACACUGUAUCGAAAACGAAAAUUUAUACUUUGUGGUUAAGACGAUCACGGAAACCAGAAAGAUUGCAGUAUUCUGACCUAUCUGUAUAAAAGUCUCGAGAAGGAAAUAGAUAUUUUGGACAGUAAUGUUCUGGAUAUUUUGCCAAAAUACAUAGGACACAGAUACUCACUUUGUGGAGAAGUUGAUAAAGUGGAUGAAGAUUCACGGCUGUUAAUAGAGAAUAUUAAGUAUCAAGGUUAUUAUGUGGCAGACAGACGAAAGGGUUUCGAUUUGCAACAUUCCAAGCUUGCUUUGUUGAGCAUAGCAAAAUUGCACGCAUUAGGUAUAGCCUUAAAGAUAAAGCGUCCUGAAGAUUUUGAGAAAGUCAAACCUAUAGCAUCAGUAACGGGAUAUGAUUUAAAUUGCGUCUACGACGUUAUUCUAAAGAUCAUUCAGGAAAACGCAUACUUUUCCAAAUAUCUAUCCAAGAUUGAAGAUGUUAAUAGAAUUACCGAGAUAUGCUUUGUAUAUUAGGUUUCAAUGUCACGAACUGACAGAAAAGCAGAAGAAAAAUAAAAAGUAAUGGGAAGUCUUCUGGAAAGCGCACCUAGUGAGAUAUACAUAAAAAAUUGAUGAGAAUUAUUGAUAAAUGUGAGAAAAAAGGAUGGUUAUAAAAAGAUCAUGAUUAUGAUUCAAUCGGAUAUCGCUGAAAGUUUGAAUGCAAUUGUGAAAUUAUGAUCAUACUUAAUUUCCAUCGAUAUACUACUGCGUCGAAUUGGUAUAUUUUCUCACGUGAGUGUGUGCGACACAAACAGAGUAACGGAUCAGCAUAUAACUUAACUUUAAAUUAAUGCGACCUUAACGACCAUAAAAUCUAAAACUUUUGGCUCCAAGCAUAUUGCAAAACGCCCUACUAUUAUAUGCCGUAUAGUUAGCAUUUCGUAUCAACUUACUACAGGCAAUGUAAGCGGUACCUCUGUAUGUAAGAUACCACUGUGAGUUAAUUUUCACCACGUGUCCUUGUUGAGAACACAAAUUUAAAAAUCCAUAUUUAUUGAUUAUUUCGCUGUAUUUAUAACAACGUUUGAAGUACUGCAUAUAGCAUAGAAAACUGCGCUUA